UCAGAGGGCGGGACGAUCGCUGGUUGCCGGUGGGCCUAGCUCACUGGGCUGGAGGAAAGUCCGGGCUCCGUAGGACAGGAUGGUCGAUAACGUCGACCGACCGUGAGGUUAGGGCCAGUGCAACAGAAAGCAAACCGCCGAACGAUCCAUCUCGAUGGAUGCGUGGUAAGGGUGAAACGGUGCGGUAAGAGCGCACCAGCGUUUGAGGUGACUCAAGCGGCUGGGUAAACCCCAUCCGGAGCUAGACCAAACAGGGUGCAACGCGCAAGCGUACGAGGCGGUCCGUUUCGUUAUCGACACUCGGGUAGGUCGCGAUGGAGGCGACGAGCAAUCGUCGCGCACAGAUAAAUGAUCGUCGGCCGGACUUUUCAGUCCGGUCACAGAACCCGGCUUACAAGCCCUCUGAUGUC
rnacentral:RNase_P_RNA from 1 species